UGGUGGAGUGAUUUGUCUGGUUAAUUCCGUUAACGAACGAGACCUUAACCUACUAAAUAGUACCAUGUAACUUCUGUUACAUGUGUUGCUUCUUAGAGGGACUUUGUGGGUUUACCACAGGGAAGUUUGAGGCAAUAACA
rnacentral:rRNA from 1 species